CUGCCUUAAACUAAUGAGUAAGGAAAACAAAGCGAUCGGUGGGAGCCGUUCGCCGCGCUAAGCAAUUUCUUGCGCAAUAAUUUAUGGAGGGGUUAUAGGCUGGCCGAGCGUUGACGCUGCUUACUUUGCAGAACUCACUCGUGCGGGCCUCCC
rnacentral:snRNA from 1 species